CUUAAAGUUGCUAAGGUUGAAGUCCCUUGCACUAGGGGAUAGGUCAAAAAAAAGCCAGGUCCCCUCUUUGAGCUAAAGACACAGAGUGAUUCUUCAGGCUUCAUCUGAUGACUGAAUCUUCUCUCACUACUCUAAGCAAGUUCAGCGUGCUAGAAAAGAUGUUUAACCAGCAACUUAUCAGUUUUGGAGGCCAAAUAAAACUCCUUGCAAGCAAAGCAAGCGUAUACAGCCACUCAACGGAGCUGCCAAAUAGGGGGUGUCCUUCUGAGAGAAGUCGAUUACUGUCUUAUCAGAAAUUCAAGAAAUUGUAGUUGGAAUUGUAGAUCUGGCAUCGUCAAUGGCCCACCCACUGUCACAAUCCAUUGGGAGCGGAAGCAAUGUCUGGUUUUGCUGCAUGGAAAUGCAAAAGGAAGAGAUUUGAAACCUGAUAGAUCACAGGACAAAGCUGGGCGACACUCAGUUCAGUAGGGUGUUAAAUUGUGCAGAGGUAACAUCAUGCUUCCCUAAAUGUUGAAUGUUAGCAAUAGUGUGGGGUUGUUGUUUCCCCCCCCCUGAAAAACCAGUAAAUAGAGUCUUUGGGAAGUAGAA